GGCCCUGGCUGGGCGGUCCGCCUUUUUUGGGUGUGUACUGUUCCGUGCCGGGCUUCUUCCUUCUGGUGAACCAGUAUGCACUUUACUGUGUGUGCUGGCGAGCCAGGACUUUUACUUUGAAAAAAUUAGAGUGUUCAAAGCAGGCUUACGCUUGAAUACAUUAGCAUGGAAUAAUAGAAU
rnacentral:rRNA from 1 species